UUUUCCUCUGAUCUGCCUCCUCU
rnacentral:miRNA from 1 species